rnacentral:rRNA from 1 species
AUGACUAGGGAUAACCUUAGGAAGAGACACAUCAUCAAACCCCUUGAUUGUGUGUACUGCUUGGAACAAGAGUCUUGUUCUCACCUAUUUUUUGAAUGUAUAGUUGCUAAACAUCUCUGGGCCCACAUUGAGGAAUAUUUCUCUAGUCAGAUUGGCUCAUCCUUUGAAUCUGUCGUCAUAUUCUGGAUUGCUAACAAAAAGUGCUCAGUUUUAAACACUGUUAGCUCAGCUGUCCUUUGGUGCCUCUGGAAAUAUAGAAAUGCUAUGAUUUUCAGUAACACCUCCUGGAUUUCCAUUCCACAGGUCUUGAGGUUGAUCAGGAACAUGGUGAGGAACUGGGCGAUUCUCUCCUCCGGAUCGGACAAGGACAAGUUGAUGAGCUUCGUGGAAACCCUAACAAGAUCCCUCCAGAAACCGUUGGCGAUCACUUGUGGCUGA